CUGGGCGGCCUUCUGCUGGGGACCCCUGCUGCCCCCCUUCCUCUGCCCAUACUCGCCAGCUCUGCCUGCAGGCCAGCCCUCUAGGCUCGGAUCAUCAACAGCUGUCUCCCCAGAAUAUCCCUACAAGCUGCUCUCAACUAGAUACCUUUCCGGAAGGUCGCCCAAAGGUGGGCUCUAGGCAGGAAGGCACAGCCCACUGUGAGUCACCAGGGAUCCUUCUAUCACUUGGACAACAAGGAGAUCCAACCAGUCCAUCCUAAAGAAAAUCAGCCCUGAAUAUUCACUAGAAGGAUUGAUGCUGAAGCUGAAACUCCAAUACUUUUGCCACCCGAUGUGAAGAACUGACUCAUUGGAAAAGACCCUGAUGCUGGGAAAGACGGAAGGCAGGAGGAGAAGGGGACGACAGAGGAUGAGAUGAUUGGAUGGCAUCACCGCCUCGAUGGACAGGGCUUUGAGCAAACUCUGGGAGAUAGUGGAGGACAGGGAAGCCUGGCGUGCUGCAGUCCAUGGGGUCACAAAGAGUUGGACACGACUGAGUGACUGAACUGAACUGAACUGAGCUGUAUGACUGAAGAUUUAAGGGCCCUUUAUGUAAUAAUACCAUUUUCCAGAUGAGAGAAGAAAAAGGAAGCCUUAGAUAGUUGUACCGGCUUCCCCUGUGGCUCAGUGGUAAAGAACCCGCCUGCCAGUGCAGGAGACGCAGGGGAUGUGGGUUCGAUCCCUGGGUCAGGAAGAUGCCCUGGAGGAUGACAUGGCAACCCACCCCAGUAUUCUUGCCUGGAGAAUCCCAUGGACAGAGGAUCCUGGUGGGCUACAGUCCAUGGGGUCGCAGAGUCAGACACGACUUAGCCACUAAACAAGAGCAACAAACAGCUGUGCUUUGGCCCAAGAGCAGAAAUGCAAGAAAUCUGAAGACUCAGGGGUGAUUCUCGCUC